UGUGCGCGAGAGAGAGAAAGAUCGACGAUGAGGAUAGAGACACGAUUUUAGGGUGGCCGACGACGACGAGGACAGAGGCGGCGACGCUAACAGCAGCUCCGAGCAUACCUGGCGAUGCGAGGUGAAGGGAUCUAGGAGAAGAGGAUAGCGACGGCGGGGCUUGACGUUGGCUAAGGAGAAGAGUUCGUCUGUGACGGCGGCGUUGGCCGUUGGCUGCUGCUGCUGGCUGUUUGGGAGAGAGAGAGAGAGGCUGCUAGGGUUUCUUCUGUGCGAGAAAAGAGAGAGAGCGAGAGGCUGGGUAGGUGUGUGAGACAGAGAGAAGGGGGAACUGGGGAAGGACUGCAUUUUGUUAAACUAUAUUUUUCUUUUUUUUUUUUUUUC
rnacentral:lncRNA from 1 species